GACAUCUCUACAGUGUGUGUAUUUUAUUGCCUUGAAAAACUGCGCACUUCCAACCAUCAUGGCGGAGACGAAAACGUGGUUUUAGCCCUCUGGUGUUCCACCGAAGCGAAACAACCAAAACAACAUAAAGAAAAACAAGAUUUUAUCUUACCCGUUCUCUUCUUACAUGUCGUUUUAGGGUCGCAUUAAACUAAAUGCUAUUUCAUUUUCUUCUAGGAGUCGGCCCAUUCUUUGUUGUAUUGGCGCAGAUUCUAAAACUGGGAUUCCGAUAAUGACUAAAAUGUUUUGGCUUUCGUGGAAAGAACCAAUCGCUUACGCCUUUUUCGAACUAUUUCUUUGUUUUUUUUUUCCUUUUUUGUUUCCUUUUAAAUAACGAGAUUUGUCUGGGUCUUCCAGUUUCCUGAAAUCUCUACCACCCCCUUUUUUUUAACGAAAAAAAAAAAUAUAAUAAAUUCCCUGGCGUGUGGAUCACCGGACCAGAAGAGGUCCGGUGUCUGAUAUGACGACUUUGAAUUCACCUUCAACGAAUAACAAAACGCACUUAAUGACGACUGAUGAAAUUCAAAAUUUCAUUUACAUCAGACAUUAUCUCAUUGUAAACGACUGAUGAAAUUUAAAAAAUAAAGUUGUACAUCACGCAUUAUCUCAUUGUGUCAUAUUCGGUUACCACACCAACAAAAACAUGUCCCACUCUCCAGAAAACCCCAAGGACCUCAGGUGAACUGUCAUUUCCAACUCAAAAACAACGGAAUAAAAAACAAAAACAAAAAAAAAGAGGUUAUCUAAUCGCCACCAUUUUGGUUUGCAGUCGUUAUCGAAUAAGCAAAAGAAGCAAUGGCGCGGGAUGGUAGUUAUUUCAGUCUCCUCAUAUGAAACUCUCUCUCUCUCUCUCUAUCCCUAACACACACUCGGUGCCAACCGAGACGCGAACAAAAACAAAACGCGUGGCUUUCCAACGUGAACACAGACACGUAUACCCCACCUUUGUUUCCCUUUGUUUUUUAGAAGCAAGGCGGGCGGUGUGCAUGGGCGCAGCCAUCUUGGAUAAGAUGGCCGUAUCGACGAGUUCCGGUCCCAUUCCUUGACUGUUGCGCAUGCGCAUUGUGUAUACAACUUUAAAAAAAAAAAACCUAAUUCCUGUCCGCAGCAGAUGAACACACACAAAAACAACACAGCUGACUGCGUGGCGCGAAAAAGGCUUAGAAACUGCGCAGUUUGGCUAACAUCAUAAAUUUUCACGUCUUUUCGUCUGCGGAAUGGAGGGGCGUAAAGAGGAGACUGAGAAAAUGUCACGUGAUCGUCUGGUAAAAACGUUGAAAGGACGUCGAAAAGCUAGAGGCAAAAUCUAACCGAUAGGAAACGGAAAAUGCAAAGGGAGAAUAAAAAUACACUUAAUCAGCUUGUUUAAA